AAUGAACGUUGGCGGCAUGGAUUAGGCAUGCAAGUCGAGCGAGAAGUGUAGCAAUACACGGAAAGCGGCGGAAGGGAGAGUAAUACGUGGGAAUCUGCCCUUAGACCUGGGAUAGCAGCGGGAAACUGCUGGUAAUACCAGAUAAUGUCUAUGGACCAAAGGUGUGAUUCCGUCUAGGGAUGAGCCCACGUCCUAUUAGCUAGUUGGUAGGGUAAUGGCCUACCAAGGCGAUGAUGGGUAGCGGGUGUGAGAGCAUGACCCGCCUCACUGGGACUGAGACACUGCCCAGACACCUACGGGUGGCUGCAGUCGAGAAUCAUCGGCAAUGGGCGCAAGCCUGACCGAGCGAUGCCGCGUGCGGGAUGAAGGCCUUCGGGUUGUAAACCGCUGUCGAGGGGGAGCAACUUCCAUAGAGUUAUCUUUAUGGAUUGAGUGAUCCCUGGAGGAAGGAUGGGCUAAGUUCGUGCCAGCAGCCGCGGUAAAAC
rnacentral:rRNA from 1 species